UACAGAGGUCCCAAGCGUUGUUCGGAUUUACUGGGCGUAAAGGGUGCGUAGGUGGUGGGGUAAGUCGGAUGUGAAAUCUCCGAGCUCAACUCGGAAAGUGCAUUGGAAACUACCCUGCUCGAGGGUUGGAGGGGGGACUGGAAUACUUGGUGUAGCAGUGAAAUGCGUAGAUAUCAAGUGGAACACCAGUGGCGAAGGCGAGUCCCUGGACAACUCCUGACACUGAGGCACGAAAGCUAGGGGAGCAAACAGG
rnacentral:rRNA from 2 species